GCUUUUGUAAGAGCUGGCCCCUUACAUAUGGAAAUGACGCUCAUGCGGGUCCCCAUUCGCGUCCUUUUGAAGGACGCCCGCCCGGAACCGCUGCGCCGGCUGCGAAGUAUUGUCCCGUUUCUCCAGCCCUAACAAAGCGUCCUCCUUCGCUUUGCAGAGAGCUGGAGGCGGGCGGCCGGCUGUGCGGGCGCUCCGGAGAAACCGACAGAAGGUGAGCGCUGUGGGCUAUGGGAUGGAUGAGGUGGAGCAGGACCAGCAUGAGGCCCGACUCAAGGAGCUGUUUGACAGUUUUGACACGACGGGCACAGGGUCCCUGGGGCAGGAGGAACUCACCGACCUUUGCCACAUGUUGAGCUUGGAGGAGGUGGCCCCAGUGCUGCAGCAGACGUUACUUCAGGACAACCUCUUGGGCAGGGUACAUUUUGACCAAUUUAAAGAAGCAUUAAUACUCAUCUUGUCCAGAACUCUAUCAAAUGAAGAACACUUUCAAGAACCAGGUAAGGUCACUCACUUUUCUUCUCUGCAUUCCCCUUUAAAAGUUGUCCGGGGAAGAAUCUGGGGACCUUGAAGCAUGUAUAUGAAGGACUGGGGACAUCUGCCUUUCACAGAUUGAGCAGUUAUUUUCGGUGACUUCUCUUCAAUAUUAUCAUAAAAGCUUUGCAGCUGUUGAACACUAAAAUGAGACUUCUCUACUACAGAAGCAUAGUAUUAUGGAGAAAAUAAUUGGAUUGUUUCUAGGCAAUAUGUCAGAUGGUGUGGCAAUAACUCAUUCUUGGAAUGAGUAGAGUGAAGCUGAAUGGUAACUGUUUUCAUCCUUGUUUCCUUGUACAUGGAAGGAUAUGAUUUGGGGAAAUUUUUCCUGAAGGUAGAAGAGUGACCAGUUUAGAGAUAAUUUUACUUAGUCGUAGUGAGUGGAUAAUGCUCUGCUAUAGACAUUAUCACAUUACAUUAUAAUUAUCUGUCUCCUCCUCUCAAGUGAUAAUUCCUUGAGGACCAUGCUGUUCAUUUUUGUAUUUCCAGUGCCUAGAAGAAUGCUUAGCAUGUAGUAAGUAUUCAAUGAAUGUUUCAAAAUAAAAGACUUAAUAUUAUACUUCACUGAUUUUUUUCUAAGCACCAUAGGUUGUAAGACACAUUGUUAUUUCAUGUAUCUUUAAAAAGAAAAAUUGUUGCCAAUUGUAAUGUAAAAUGACAUUAAUUGUAAAUUCUCAUUUCAGAGUGUCCAAAUCUGGUGUGUUGGGGGGAGGUGUCUUCAAAUCAAUGAAAUAUGGUAGAUGUGUAAAGAAAAGUCUAAACACUGUGGAAAUUUAUAUCACAGUACAGUCUGGUUUUAUCAA
rnacentral:sRNA from 1 species